rnacentral:rRNA from 1 species
GACGAACGCUGGCGGCGUGCUUAACACAUGCAGGUCGAACGGAAAGGCCCUGCUUUUGUGGGGUGCUCGAGUGGCGAACGGGUGAGUAACACGUGAGUAACCUGCCCUUGACUUUGGGAUAACUUCAGGAAACUGGGGCUAAUACCGGAUAGGAGCUCCUGCUGCAUGGUGGGGGUUGGAAAGUUUCGGCGGUUGGGGAUGGACUCGCGGCUUAUCAGCUUGUUGGUGGGGUAGUGGCUUACCAUGGCUUUGACGGGUAGCCGGCCUGAGAGGGUGACCGGCCACAUUGGGACUGAGAUACGGCCCAGACUCCUACGGGAGGCAGCAGUGGGGAAUAUUGCACAAUGGGCGGAAGCCUGAUGCAGCAACGCCGCGUGCGGGAUGACGGCCUUCGGGUUGUAAACCGCUUUCGCCUGUGACGAAGCGUGAGUGACGGUAAUGGGUAAAGAAGCACCGGCUAACUACGUG